GAUGCCAGUUUAGAGCCGUCACUCCUACCGAUCAGUGUUCGUGGUACUAGAAUGUAUUCUGCUUGUUACCAGAGAAACCAGGUACAGAUAACAAGAAAGACCCUGUGAAGAAGUCAUUUGACCUGAGUGUCACAAGCAGUUUCCUCAUGCUUGGUGUGUGUUAGACAGCAUCGCAUGCUUUUACAGCAUGUGGGUUUGUAGGUCCAGCUCUUUGCAAGUGGAGAAAGCAUCUCUGCAUUAGAUAUCUUGGAAUUUGAAUACCCAAGAAGCAUCUUGGGAACCUCCAAUGAGAUCAGGUGUGGACCAAGAAUUACAUUGAGAGAACUAUUGGCCUGGCCUUUUCCUAGUGAAGAUGCUCCAUCUCACCCUGCAGCUAUGAUGGUGACCACAUCUGCUACAGGACAACCCUUGCCUGCCACAGGACUGACUGUCUAUGUAAAAGCUUAACCACUGAGACCAAUGCCUUUCCUACUUGCCUUUCAUGAGUUUUCUCUCUCUGUUUUUCCUCUAGGAUAAUGGUAUUACCCUACAUAUAUCAAAUACAUGAGAAAGUACAGAAUUUUCUAAGACAGUGUCACAUUGCCAUGAGAACUGGAAUAUUCUAGACUUAUCCAUAGUCCUUGUUCUAAAACGAGAUGUGAGAAUCACUUGGAGGCCUUGUUGAAAUAGAUUGCUGACCUCAUCUUCACUUUCAGAGUUUGGGUUCACUCCAGAUGCUUAGAGAUCCAAGAGUUUCCAGCACAUUCUCAUGUUGUGUGGGACCAAUCUUUUAAGGUGUCUGGAACUGAGGGAAUUGCCCUACCAAUGUCCAAGCUGCACAGAAUGCCUCCUCACCCGCUCCGUCGUACAUUUUCCUGCAGCAAUCAGCACUCGGCAUUUUUUCUGUAACUCCUCACUCUUGAGCAUCACUUAAUAACCAGAGGGCACGCUUCAGCCCAGCUUUAUGACUUAUCAUCUUAUCGCAUCUUCUUCUUCUGUGGUAUACUUCUGGGAUGGGACACAGUGAUUGAUUCUCUUGAGAUGAUGUGCUGUGUGCAACUUUGUGUCUGAGAAAGGUGGUUCAGUCCUUCUGAGGUAGACUCAGUUACGUGAACUUGACGACUGCUCACUGAACUGGGUUUGCCUGUCUAAGUAUUUCAGUAAAUGGAGGCCCAUGACUCUUAUUCUAGGUUCAGUCACUGUAAAGACCAGGUGGCACUAGAGAGAUUCUAAGUCUGGCUUGGGACCUAAAGCCUUUGCUGCCUCAGUGUGUACUGCUGUAUGAAAACUACACACUGCUCCACUUUUUUUUUUUAAGAAAAUCUCCUUGCAUAGUCUUGAGACAGCCUAAUAAAGUCACUUUCUUUACCACGGGGACUGUGGAUGAAGAUCCCUGCAGCAGGUGUGAUCUCCCUGAGGAUAGUGGCUUUUGACAGUUUUGAGCUGCAUCCUAGGCCCUUGUCAUUUGUUAAAAUAAGUAACUACUGGCUACAUGUAACUUGGAGACUGUGUUGGCUGGGACUUGAAGACAGACGUCAGUUACAUCUUGAAAGAUAUUUAGAGAAUAACUUUGAAGUGUGGGAAGCAACUAGACUCUUAGCUAUCUUUGUCAUUAUGCUUUUAAAAUAUUUGAAACACACUGUUUGUUUGGAGAUGUCAUAGUGAAACCCAUUAUUCUGUGUAAUUAAUAAAUACAAAGAAAAUUAUUUGAAAUUCUCGACCAUAUUGUGCCUCUAACGCCCACACUUAGUCCACGUAUUAAACGGGUAACAUUAGCAUAUGGAUGGAAAAUGGGAACCCUGAGAAAUUAUGGGACAUUGGAAAUUGAGUGCCUUAGAAAAAGUUUUCAUUAUAAAAGCAUGUUGAAAAAGUAAGCAGAAAUCUUACCAAGUUUCUCUCUGCUCAGACUCUACACACAUAAGCAAAUGAUGGUUUCUAGGUUCUUGUAGUUAGACAGUAUAAUAUUCCCCUAGUCUUAUGGAGGUAUAAUUGGUGGAUGAGAGUUGUACAUAUUUAAGUUGUAAACCUCAUGAUUUGAUAUAUGCAAAUUCCUUUUAAAAUGAUUUCUACAAUGCAUCCGUUAUUUCACAGUUUAUGUACAUGAGGUUAAAAUAUUUGCAGUAUACUCUCUUAGCAAGUUUCAAGGAUUUAGGACAAUAUAAUUUAGUGCAGUCACUCUGUACCAGGAUUUACCAACCUUGAAUGUGUCAAUUUUUACACUUUACCAAGAUCUUCCAUUUUCCCAUCUCUUCUUUUCUCAGACAUGAUAGUAUCUGAAAAGUGAAACCAUUUAUUUAGGACUGGCUGACUUGUGAUUCUCUACAUUUAAGUACAGAUCUCUCUUCCUUACGAAGACUUUAAAAAACAGCUCUUGAAAAGAUUCUUAUAACAAUCAUUACGGGGCUUUUAGAAAAGUAGAAAUAAAAAUCAGUGAGUACCUCUAGUUUAAGCCACUCACAUACAUAUACACAAAUAAGC
rnacentral:sRNA from 1 species